AGAGUUUGAUCAUGGCUCAGGAUAAACGCUGGCGGCGCACAUAAGACAUGCAAGUCGAACGGACUUAACCGAAAUGUUUACAUUUUGGAGCGGUUAGUGGCGGACUGGUGAGUAACACGUAAGCAACCUGCCUGUUAGAGGGGAAUAACAGUGAGAAAUCAUUGCUAAUACCGCAUAUGCCAUAAACACCACAUGGUGAUAGUGGGAAAGGAGCAAUCCGCUAACAGAUGGGCUUGCGUCUGAUUAGAUAGUUGGUGGGGUAACGGCCUACCAAGUCGACGAUCAGUAGCCGAACUGAGAGGUUGAACGGCCACAUUGGGACUGAGAUACGGCCCAGACUCCUACGGGAGGCAGCAGUCGGGAAUAUUGCACAAUGGAGGAAACUCUGAUGCAGUGACGCCGCGUGCAGGAAGAAGGUUUUCGGAUUGUAAACUGCUUUAGACAGGGAAGAAAAAAGACAGUACCUGUAGAAUAAGCUCCGGCUAACUACGUGCCAGCAGCCGCGGUAAUACGUAGGGAGCAAGCGUUAUCCGGAUUUAUUGGGUGUAAAGGGAGUGCAGGCGGUCUUAUAAGCGUGACGUGAAAUGCAGCGGCUCAACCGUAUGAUGUGCGUCGCGAACUGUGAGACUUGAGUGUAUUCGAUGUCAGCGGAAUUUGUGGUGUAGCGGUGAAAUGCUUAGAUAUCACGAAGAACUCCGAUUGCGAAGGCAGCUGACAAGGCUACAACUGACGCUAAAGCUCGAAAGUGCGGGUAUCGAACAGGAUUAGAUACCCUGGUAGUCCGCACGGUAAACGAUGGAUGCCCGGUGUUUGCGAUAUACAGUGAGCGCCCAAGCGAAAGCGUUAAGCAUCCCACCUGGGGAGUACGCCGGCAACGGUGAAACUCAAAGGAAUUGACGGGGGCCCGCACAAGCGGAGGAACAUGUGGUUUAAUUCGAAGCAACGCGAAGAACCUUACCAGGGCUUGACAUAUACAGGAAUAGCUAAGAGAUUAGUUAGCUCUUCGGAGCCUGUAUACAGGUGGUGCAUGGUUGUCGUCAGCUCGUGUCGUGAGAUGUUGGGUUAAGUCCCGCAACGAGCGCAACCCCUGUCCUUAGUUGCCAGCGAGUAAUGUCGGGAACUCUAAGGAGACUGCCGGUGAUAAAUCGGAGGAAGGUGGGGAUGACGUCAAAUCAUCAUGCCCUUUAUGUCCUGGGCUACACACGUACUACAAUGGCCGCUACAGAGAGAAACAAGACAGUGAUGUGGAGUAAAACUCAAAAAACGGUCUCAGUUCGGAUUGAAGGCUGAAAUUCGCCUUCAUGAAGCUGGAAUUGCUAGUAAUGGCAGGUCAGCAUACUGCCGUGAAUACGUUCCCGGGCCUUGCACACACCGCCCGU
rnacentral:rRNA from 1 species